GAAAAAGGUUCCGGCCUCAGCUGGCGCACCUGGCGGAGGAGGAACCCCGCGACGAGCUCACGGGCACCUCUGUCUCCCAGCAAAGCUUGGAGGGUUUAGCAGCGUGGAGAGCUCAGCGAGCUCUCCUGUGCCUGUUUGGGGCGUGUGGGCUCCAGGAGCGUGAGUACCGGGAAGCUGGGAGGCUCCUUCCUUUCUGGUGGCUACCUCACUGAGAGCGGGCGGUUUGGUUGCGGGGAACGUGGAGGCGAGCCACCCUUGACCUUUGACUGCAAGGACUCACCUUGAGCAGGACAGAGGCACUUGGACGGUGACCCUCGGUGUGCAAUAAGUGCUGACACAGAGCAGGUGUGCAAGGCAUAGAGCUAGAGGCCAGAGGCUUUUCUUCUCCAACCUUCAGUCACCUCUUUGUAAAGUGAAGCCAGCAUCCUCCUCGGAGUUUACUGUGAAAAUUAAGUGAGCUGACGCCGGCUGUGUUUUGAUGUCGCUUGGCUCCUACAAACAUUCAUCGGGCCAGACACUGUUUUGAAAAAUACACAGUCGACUCUUGAACAACACAGGCUUGAACUGCAUGCGACCACUAAUACUCAGACUUUCUUCUGGCUUUGCAACCCCUAAGACAGUAAGACCAACCCCUCCUGCUCCUCAGCCUACUGGAAGUGAUGAUGACACACAGAAUAGAAGACCAUGUGAAGACAGAGGCAGAUGCUGGAGAGAUACAGCCACAGGCCUGUGAAUGCUGAUGACCACCAGAAACCGGAGGAAGCAAGGAAGAAUUCUCCCCGAGAGUCUCUGAAGGAAGCGUGGCCCUGCCAACACCUUGAUUUUGGACUUCUGUCCUUCAGGACUGUAAAAAACAAAUUUCUGUUAAAUCAUGAAGCUUGUGGUCAUUUGUUACUGCAACCAUAGGAAAUUAAUGUGCACCCUAACUCUUUUCCCUGCCCAUCCUUCCUCAAUUACCUGUUCUCUACUUCCUGGGUGUGGCCCUCAGCCCCUGUUUGUGUUCUUAGCCCUGCAGGUAAGCCACCUUCAGCUUCACUGGGUCUGUACCUUUCUUGUGGUUGAUAAGUCCUGCAGCUGCCUAGCCUGGUGCUCUUCUUUCCUUCCCCAUCUCUUCUUUGAUCUCCCCUUGGAGAAUCACAACUGACCAGUCAGGUAGCGUGAUGCCUCCAACUUUGUUCUUUUGGCUUAGGACUGU